GAAGGCCACAGAAGGCUCUGGACAGGAUGGAAGGUUCUGGAAGGGGCGGAUGGGUACGGAAGGUUCUGGAAGGGAUGGAAAGGCACAGAAGGUUCCAGAAGAGAUGGAAGGUUCAGGAAGGGAUGGAAGUUUCUGGAAGGGACGGAAGGUCAUGGAAGGUUCAGAAAGGGAUGGAAGGCCACAAAAGGUUCUGGAAGGGAUAGAAGGUUCCAGAAGGGCACGGAAGGUUCCAGAAGGGACAAAAGGCCAUGGAAGGUUCCAGAAGGGACAGAAGGGCACGGAAGGUUCCGGAAGGCCAUGGAAGGUUCCGGAAGGGAUGGAAAGGCAUGGAAGGUUCCAGAAAGGAUGGCAGGUUCCAGAAGGGACGGAAGGGAUGGAAGGUUCUGGAAGGGAUGGAAGGCUACGGAAGGUUCAGGAAGGAACGGAAGGUUCCGGAAGGGACAGAAGGCCACAGAAGGCUCCGGAAGGGACAGAAGGCCAGGGAAGGUUCCGGAAGGCUCCGGAAGGUUCCGGAAGGCCCGGGCGCUCACCUCGCAGCAGCUCGGGCUGCACGAAGCCCAGCACGUCGGCCACGCCCAGCUCCUGGCGCGCGCAGGUGCCG